GACGAACGCUGGCGGCGUGCCUAAUACAUGCAAGUUGAGCGCUGAAGGUUGGUACUUGUACCAACUGGAUGAGCAGCGAACGGGUGAGUAACGCGUGGGGAAUCUGCCUUUGAGCGGGGGACAACAUUUGGAAACGAAUGCUAAUACCGCAUAAAAACUUUAAACACAAGUUUUAAGUUUGAAAGAUGCAAUUGCAUCACUCAAAGAUGAUCCCGCGUUGUAUUAGCUAGUUGGUGAGGUAAAGGCUCACCAAGGCGAUGAUACAUAGCCGACCUGAGAGGGUGAUCGGCCCCAUUGGGACUGAGACCGGGCCCAAAGUCCUACAGGAGGCAGCAGUAGGGAAUCUUCGGCAAUGGACGAAAGACUGACCGAGCAACGCCGCGUGAGUGAAGAAGGUUUUCGGAUCGUAAAACUCUGUUGGUAGAGAAGAACGUUGGUGAGAGUGGAAAGCUCAUCAAGUGACGGUAACUACCCAGAAAGGGACGGCUAACUACGUG
rnacentral:rRNA from 1 species